rnacentral:misc_RNA from 1 species
AGAGGGUUAUUUUGUUCUGUAUGUUUAGUUUGGAGCGUCGGCCCGUGAGUCAAUAGAAUUUUCUUAGUUUUUCCUUUAAUUGCUUUGUUUUUUCUGAGAUAUGUUUUUUCCAAGUUAGCCUCCUGUCCAGGGUCAUGCCCAGGUAUCUUACGGAGUCCUUGCUUGGGAUUAAUGUGUUGUUAAUGGUGACCUGGGGGCAGGUUUGUUUUCGGGGCCCGAAUUGGUGGUCUGGGAGUAUUUUCAAUUCUUCUAGGAGUGGAAGGAGACGAUUCGUGAGCAUCCUCUCGAAUAGUUUAGACAGGGUAGGUAAAAGACUGAUUGGGC